CUCUCGUUUUCCUUCUUGAACUCCUUCAAGACUUCUUCAAGUCUAUUACCAACUCCUAAUGCUUUUCCAACAGUAUUUCCAGUCAAAAUGCUCAUUAGAAUUCGAAUCACAAUCUAAUUCUAAUAAGCUCCAACUUGUCGCAAAUUCUACUACAAGGAAUAAAACUUAACUUUUCACUAAACUCUAAAAAAUAAUUCUUUAAGUAAAAUAAUCCAAACAAAUUACUUCACUUCUUUCACCAUGCCCUGCCGGACAUACUCAACAACUAUGAACUAAAUUCAAACCAUACUUACCAUCAAAACUACUUUAUAAGCCAACCUCGCAUGAAUCAUCAUGUUCACUUCCAGCUUCAAUCGAGUCACCAAAACUACUCGAAUCACCGAGCACUUCCAACUCUAACUGAGCUGUCAAACCUGCUCAAAUCACCAUGAGCAAUAUAAUCAACAAAAUCACAACUAGCUCCACCUGAGCAACUGGAAAAUUUCCCAAUAUUAUUGUUAGAAUCACCACGAACAACCUGAUCACAACUAACUCCACCCGAGUAACCGCUUAUCAAAUCAUAAUUGGGACUUUCUCUGCCCUCUCCAGGCACCCUUGCUAACUUUCAGAACUUCUCCUCCACCAAUAUACCUGAAUCCUUUUGAAUCAAGAGUAUUUAAAGAGAUUAAAUUCUUGUUUAUACUUGAAACAUGUCAAACCUGACCAAGUGUCCUAACCGUCACAUCAAACAUCUUGAUUUUGACAUUACCAAUCCUAACUAUUUUACAAGGCUCAUUAUUUCUCAUCUUACGGAACACCCUGUAAUU
rnacentral:lncRNA from 1 species